rnacentral:lncRNA from 1 species
CCAUCCCAUCACCACCGCCGCCCUCUCCUUUUCCUCCUCGUGUUCAGCACCGAGCCAAUCAACAAUUCUUCAGAUCCAAACAGCCACAGCCAUCCCCACCCGAUCUGGACCACCAGAUCUUAGAUCCAACGCCCAAGGGCGCACCCCGCUCGCCCCGCAGCCGUUCCCAUGAUCCCGAUCUGGAUCGGAAGCGUGAGCUCCCUCUGCUGCCGCUCGACCCUGCCGCUGCCUCGCCGCCUCUGGUCCGGUCGUCGGCGCCGGAACGCCCUCAGAGGGCCGCAGCCAAGCUCCCGUGCGCGCCUUCGCCCCUCGUGUCUUAUUCUCCACGGAGCGAGACCCCGCCAUGGUCGUGGCCGUUUUCUCCCCGCCNCCCCGUCGUGUGGUUUUCUCCUCCCCCCUCGUUUCUCUCUCUCCCGUGACCUUUCUCCUCUCUGGAAGCAGCUGCAGGGGACGACCAUGGCUGUCUAGGAGUUCCGCCCCGCCGCCAAUAGGUGUCCUCGUCGCCCUCUGGUGCCGGGAAGCCCCGGAUCCGGUAGCCCUCGUCCCGAUCUACCCAUUCCCGGUUGAAACUCGCCGGCAGGGCCCGUCCCCGUCGUGCCCUUGGCCGUUCACCAUCGGCCUGACUUCGUAGCUCCACCAACCGACAGAUCUGGCCACAGGUGAGCCUCCGUGCCGCGCCAUAUAGUUGUACAAAACGAAUCUGUGUUAGGAUAGAACCUCCCUCGUAGUCCAACUGGCAAGGAAGGAGAUGCUCAUCCAAGAGGUCUCGGGUUCGAAACACCACGACUGCACAUUCUUUUUCUGCAUUUUCUCCUUCGAGGAUGAGCUGGUGUUGCCGUUUCAUUUAGUUUAUAAGCCCGUUUCAUUUAGUUUAUAAGCCCAGUUAUUUCGUGUGCAAGUAGGCAGCCCAGCUGGUUAGCGGCAGGCCUUUGUAUCUAGGAGGUUGUAGGAUCAAACCCAUGGGUGCCUUAUUCUUUUUGCUGGCUGUGUUUUUUUCUCUCUUGCCCACAGCUGUCUUGGGCCGAUUUCAGCCCCGGGCCACUGCACAAUAGUGCAAUUCGGUCCACUGUGUUUUUUCUUUAAUAUCGUGUGAUUGUCCAAUUUCUAGGGUCUUUGCUAAUUUCAGGAAAGGCAUUGUUUUUCAAACGAGCGUAGUUUCUAAUCCGUGUAUCGGUUCGAAGUUAUUCAAAUUUGUAGCUUUACUAGAAUUUCACGUAGGUUAAUAAUUUCCAACUCUCAUGCAUAAUUAGAUCUGUUUAGUGUGUUGUUUGCAUCGGUUUGCAUGCCUUCGUGUUAAAAACGGUUUAGAUCGUAACUAUUUGUGCGUAGCUCCAUUGGAGAUGUGCCAUAUAUGUAAAUGGUGCAGAACGACGAGUAGAAUCACGAGAACCACUUUGCCUUUCCGUUUAACAAACCUAAAAUGUGAUUAGGACAAAUCUGGACAAAAUUGUAAUUUAACACAUGGGGUCAUUUCGGAGAUGCUAUAUGUUGUUUCCGGUCUCAUUUAAAAUGCCUAGAUAGGUAGUUUAAUUUGUGCUUCACCCCUUGCCAUGUUAACAACAUUUUAAAUAUUGCCGUGUAAAUUAACAGGAGUGAACUGAACAAUUAAAUGUGGAGUUUCGUCGAUAUGCAACCCGUUGCAUAUCGAGCUUCACUUAAUGUGUAGUGUUUGAUUGUUGUGAUUGUCAUGCCUUGCAUUAGACCGUUCAUGCAUCAUGUGUGUCUUGCAUCGUGUGAUGUAUAUCGUGUGUUGAUGCUUGUUUCCGGUUUCCUCCGUCUCGAUAGAGUUCCGCAGGUGUGUCGGAUGUGAGGACCGUUCGACUACGUCGGUUCGUCUGCUUCACGGAGUCACUCUUCUUCCAAACGGGAUCUCAGGCAAGAUGAUCAUUUCCCCAGAUACCAUUACUAUCAUUGCCAUGCUAGUUUUUUCGCUGCUAUCGAUUAUGUCUCGUUGCCUACCACAUGUGAAAUAUCAGCCUCUCUACAAUGCCAUGAAACCUUCAACCUGUUCAACCUAGCAAACCACUGAUUGGCUAUGUUACUGCUUGCUUAACCAUGUUGAUAGCCAGGUGCAGAUGCUUCCAUGUGAAAACAUGGGUUCCUUGUCAUAUCACCAUAUUAAAUGCUAUUUAAUUUAAUGCACCUAUAUACUUUGUAAAAGGUGGAAGGCUCGGCCUUUCUAGCCUGGUGUUUUGUUCCACCUUUGCCCCCUUAGUUUCGGCUACCGGUGUUAUGUUCCAUAAAUGAGCGCUCCUAACACGAUCGGGGUUGUUAUGGGGACCCCCUUGAUAAUUCGUUUUAGUUUAAAGCUGGUCUGGCAAGGCCCAACAUUGGUUUUACAUUUGCCCAACAUAAUAAUUUUGUUAACACUGAAAUGCAUAGGGAGUUAGCGCUACCCGAGGAGUAAUUUUACAUAAACAGGAGGGGCCAGUGCUGAUGGUGUUGGUCCCAAACGGUCUGCCUGCGGGGCCACCGCGAGGAAACUCGAGGUUUGGCACCCGUAGCUAGUUCCAUCUGUCGUGUCCUGAGAACGAGAUACGCGGCUCCUAUCGGCUUCGUCGACACGUCGGGCGGCCUUGCUGGAUUAGUUUUACCUUUGACGAGAUAUCUUGUGCAUCGGGAUUCCGGUGAUGCUUUGGGUAAUCUCAGAGUUGAGGUUUUCCACUAGGGAAUCCGACGAGAUCGCGAGCUUCGUGAUUGAGGAUUUCUAUGUGGCUUGUGGUAAUUUGUAAUGGACUAGUUGGAGCACCCCUGCAGGGUUAAAUCUUUCGGAAAACCGUGCCCGCGGUUAUGUGGCAACGUGGAAGCUUUGUUUAACACUGGUUCUAGAUAACUUGAAGUUAACUUAACUAAAACACGCCAACUGUGUGCGUAACCGUGACUAUCUCUUUCGUGAGUUUCUUCUCCGAUCGAGGACACGGUGGGGUUAUGUAUGACGUAGGUAGGUGUUCAGGAUCAUUCAUUUGAUCAUUAGUAGACACUUCCGUUAUGCGUAGAUCUUCCCCCUCUUGUUUCUUGUACACGUAAGUUUAGCCACCAAAUAUAUGCUUAGCCGCUGCUACAACCUCACCACUUAACCAUGCCUCACCCAUUAAGCUUUGCUAGUCUUGAUACCUUUGGAAAUGAGAUUGUUGAGUCCCGUGUGGCUCACAGAUUACUACAACACCAGUUGCAGGUACAGGUAAAGGUUACUUAACGCGAGCGCGUUGGUUGUUCAUUUGGAGUUGCCUCUUCUUCUUCAUCAAUCUAGGAUGGGUUCCAGGCCGGCAGCCUGGGAUAGCAAGGAUGGACGUCGUUUUUAUUUUUCUCGUUUGUUUUCGUCCGUAGUCGGACCCUGCUCUUACUCUUGAUGAUUAUGUAAUGUACUGAUGUGACUCUGAUGUAGCUUGUGGCGAGUGUAAGCCAACUCUGUAUAUAUAUCUCUUCUUUUCAGUACAUGUACUUGUAACGAUAUCCAUUCUUGCGACACGAUGAGAUGCGCUUCUAUCCUUGACGAGGCCUUCGUGCCAAAUUGAGGAUAGGGUCGCAUCUUGGGCGUGACAACCCUCUGCCCUCUUCUUCUCAGCUUCAAGGGCGAGACGAUUGGCCUCGGAUGGUGAAGACAUGGCGAUAACGAGGGCGACGCGGAUGUAGACGAAGCAGAUGGACGGAGGCGAGCAGUCGCGUGAUCGCUCCGCAAAAACCUAAUCGCCCCUCUCCCGUACAGGAACCGGAGAGGCGGGGUUUCGGAGGCCUGCUCUCCCGUCGACCGUGUACGCGGUAAACGGGACAGAGUCGCCGGCGGCAGCAGCAGCAAAAGGAACGAACGCGUGAGGCAGAUGUGAUCUGAUUCUCGUGACGGCUAGGGUAGGCGUUAGCCUGCUUAUAAGGGCGGCUGGGCGGAGAGACGUGGACCGAACCCACGUCCGAGUCGGUAACAGCCCACGAUCCGACAAAAAUAAGCGCGUAGGUAUAAGCUUUGCUCAUUCUCGCAAGGCAAGGCAAGGGGGGCGAGGCGGGUGGCCGAGGAGGAGUGCGCGAGGGCACCUUCUCUUCUCACCCUCCAAUAGCAUGUGGAAGAGAGACCCUUAUAAAGGGGUCCAAUUUCUUCUCCACUAGCGGGAUGGGACUAAACUUCCCACCACCUUGUCAUGCCACCACCUACAUGGGCCCUUGGAGAUUUUUCUAAAAUUCAUUAAUGGGCCUAAGGCCCACUACUAAUUUCAACACGGACGUGGUACCCGACACUUCAGAUUGAGCACUGAAGGCUGCACACCAUGACUCAUGCCAGAUCAAAGGUAUAGUAUCAUAGAUUACAACUCAUGUCUACGCUAUCACAAGUUAAUACCUUACAAGAUUUGUAUAAUCUGGUGGACCCUAAUUAUUGUUUGUCAUAUGGAUUAGAAACAUCAAACUCGAUGGUCUAUACACAACAGUUUCGCCCCAAAAUUUUCAUCUAUAGCGUCAAUCUACUACCGAUCAAAUAUUUUGGCACAAGUAGAAUUAUGGAACAAACUGGAAUCAAAAGCACCUCAUAUGAGAGAUUAUUUAACAGUUCCUUUCUUUUAGGUUUAUGAGCUACACUCAAAGUAAUAGGAAUCUAUUUUUUCUGUUUGUCAAAUACUCCCUCCUCUUGUAUGGUCAUUGAAUGAAAAUAAACCCUCUUAUGCUAUCAUUGUCUUCUUCGGCAUCCCCCCUCCCCCCCCCCCUCCCUCCCUAUGCUAAAAUCCUGGCUCCGCCCCUGGAUGCAUGCAGAGCAUCUGGCCCGGAUGCGGGCGGAGCACGACACAAGGAUAGCCUCAGAGCAGGAGGCAUGGAUAACGUCCGACGAGUAAUCCGGCCAACCAUUGAGGUAUCCAUCAUGCUCGGCCAUUAAUUGUCAUUUUGGCAUGUCUAGA